AUGACCCGCCGCCGACGCCGACACCAACGCCGCGGCUCGCCGCCGGCGCCUCCGCCUCCGCCUUCGCUCGAAAAUGACGACCUCCUCCACGAGAUCCUGCUCCGUAUCCCGCCGCAGCCCUCCUCCCUCCCCCGGGCCUCCGCCGUCUGCAGGCGGUGGCGACGCGUCGCCGUCGACCCCAAGUUCACCGCCCGCUUCCGCGCCCACCACGGGAAGCCACCCCUCCUCGGCUUCUCCCAGCGCCGCGACGACGGCAUCGUGUUCGCCCCCGUCCUGGACGCUCCCGACCGCGUCCCUCCCGAGCGCUUGGACCUGCCGCGAUGUGACUCUGAGGCCCACCUCCUCGGGUGCCGCCACGGCCGCGUCCUCGUCUUCGACGUGGCGCGGGCGGAGGUCCUUGUGUGCAAUCCCAUCACGGGCGAGCAGCGCCGCGUGGCCGUCCCGCCGGAGUUCAAGACGGGCCACGUCAACGGGGCGGUGCUCUGCGCUGACCGCAGCCAGGGCCACAUGCACGGCGGCUGCCGCUCCAGCCCGUUCAAGGUGGUCUUGGUGUUCAUGCGCAGCCACGAUCAUCGACCCCUCGCAUGCGUCUACUCCUCCGAGAUCAACUCAUGGGGCCAUCUCAUCCAGACAGAGGCUCCACACCCAGUUUCAGACAGUGGUUCUCAGAGCACCCUUGUUGGUAAUGUUCUUUACUGGCUGUUAAAUCAUGCGGAAGACGAUGGCAUACUUCAGUUUGAUUUGGAUAGACACAGCCUCAAUGUGAUUGAGGCCCCUCCCAGGAUGAGUUUUCCCUGCAACUGUCAGAUCAUCCAGGCCGAGGAUGGUACUCUUGGUCUCGCCAUAUUGUCUCACCGUUACCAUAACUUUCAAGUGUGGCAGAGGAAGGUUAAUUGCCAUGGUGUUGGCACAUGGGUGCUACGGAAGACCACCGAAAUGCACGAUAUUCUUGGGCUCCCUCCUCCGAUUGAGGUAGCAAGAAGGGGCCGGGUGGCACUGAUACGGGGAUACGCCGAGGAUGCCAAUGAAAUAUUUUUAUAUCUGGAUGGCACUGUCUACAUGGUUCAACUUAAGUCGAUGCAAUCGAGAAAACUCUGGGAAACCCAUCACGCUACCCUUUGUAAUUCCUUCAACAGUUUCUAUAUGCCAGGUGAUUGUUCAUCCUUAGUCCUUACAUUGUAG
rnacentral:rRNA from 1 species